GGAGAGUUGGCAGAGUGGUCGAAUGCGGCGGUCUUGAAAACCGUUGUGGGAGCAAUCUCACCAGGGGUUCGAAUCCCUUACUCUCCGCCA
rnacentral:tRNA from 2 species